rnacentral:tRNA from 1 species
AGGAGUAGCGAAGUGGCUAAACGCGACGGACUGUAAAUCCGUUCCUUAGGGUUCAGUGGUUCGAAUCCACUCUCCUCCA